rnacentral:rRNA from 1 species
GAUGCAGCAACGCCGCGUGAACGAUGAAGGUCUUCGGAUCGUAAAGUUCUGUUGCAGGGGAAGAUAAUGACGGUACCCUGUGAGGAAGCCCCGGCUAACUACGUGCCAGCAGCCGCGGUAAUACGUAGGGGGCUAGCGUUAUCCGGAUUUACUGGGCGUAAAGGGUGCGUAGGUGGUCCUUCAAGUCGGUGGUUAAAGGCUACGGCUCAACCGUAGUAAGCCGCCGAAACUGGAGGACUUGAGUGCAAGAGAGGAAAGUGGAAUUCCCAGUGUAGCGGUGAAAUGCGUAGAUAUUGGGAGGAACACCAGUAGCGAAGGCGGCUUUCUGGACUGCAACUGACACUGAGGCACGAAAGCGUGGGUAGCAAACAGGAUUAGAUACCCUGGUAGUCCACGCUGUAAACGAUGAGUACUAGGUGUCGGGGGUUACCCCCCUCGGUGCCGCAGCUAACGCAUUAAGUACUCCGCCUGGGGAGUACGCACGCAAGUGUGAAACUCAAAGGAAUUGACGGGGACCCGCACAAGUAGCGGAGCAUGUGGUUUAAUUCGAAGCAACGCGAAGAACCU